rnacentral:misc_RNA from 1 species
GUGAAUUUUCAAAUGGGAGUCCCUCUUAAUCGGAGAAGGCCAUUCUCACUAUUUUUCAAACCCUAGUGCAUUUGUCCCCUUUUUUACCUUUAACCCUUUCUGCAUUCGAAAAGGUUGUUGUGUCAUUAUAUUUGAUAAAUUGAAAGAA